CACGUAGGGGGCGAGCGUUGUCCGGAUUUAUUGGGCGUAAAGAGCUCGUAGGCGGUUCGGCAAGUCGGGUGUGAAAUUUCGAGGCUCAACCUCGAAACGCCACUCGAUACUGCUGUGACUGGAGUCCGGUAGAGGAGUGCGGAAUUCCUGGUGUAGCGGUGAAAUGCGCAGAUAUCAGGAAGAACACCCGUGGCGAAAGCGGCUCUCUGGAACGGUACUGACGCUGAGACGCGAAAGCGUGGGGAGCGAACAGG
rnacentral:rRNA from 1 species